UUCAAAACCCUACCGAAAUGCUGCCCACAACCCCCUAACUGUCUAACCCUUUUCGUUUUUGUCUUUCUGAAGAGUGAACUAAAGACUGGUCUUUCUUCUUUCACUCUUUCUCUGAAUCUCUUCUCAAUUCUCAUUUGAAACUUGGAAAGUUGAGAGAGGAAGUUUUAUCUAGACCUUCUGGUGACUUACUGACUCUGGUUCGAUCUAUCUCAUCAUCUAGAGAGUGGAGGCUGCGGGCUGAAAGCACAUCGGUCAUCGCACAACACAAUCAACACUACAGUCGUUCGUCCGUCCAUCAAUAGUGAUACUGAGAGGUUUGAGAGUCAGAGAAAUCGGAAAAUGACGAUGGACCUUAGAACUAUUUGAAGGGCUCUUCUCUAUUAAGGGAAAAGCUCAAUAUCAGUUUUUUUUUAGCCGUUUAGAUGUAUUUUGUGGGAUCCCAUUAAUGGUAGAGCGUAAGUCAAUGACCAAUUGACCAGGAAUUCUACUAUUCUAUUAGCCUUUACCUAGAGGUUUUUUUGUUGCAUUCCUAAAUGUAACUACUAAAAUCGUAUGAAGUAAUUAGCAAUGUAUUUUUAUUGAAUUUA